GCAGGUUUAAUAGGGCACCGGUAACCGGUGCCUUUUUUCCAAAAUUCCCUAAAAUUAGAACACGCUCUCUCUCCUCACUCUUUCCUCUCUAUCUCUAACUCUCUUGUUCUGUCUCCUCUGUUUCCUCUCUCCUCUCAAACUCUCCGUCUCCUCUCUUUUCUCGCUCCACCGCAGCCACCACCAGCGCAACCCUCAACUCUCUCCAUCCUAGCUUCCCACCGUAGUCACCACCAGCGCAACCCUCCUCUCUCUCCAUCCUAGUUUCUUGCCACCACCACCGCAGUCGUCUCUAAUGGCGUAAGCCCUUAAAAAACUAGGAGAACGAUGCCUAGAUCUCUAAUGGCGACACUGCUCCUCACAAGUGAAUUCGAAUGAAUGGGAAGUGAAAGAACUCUUGAUUCGAAUUUUCAACUAUGAAUUUGAUGAAUCAUCAAUCGGAAUGUACAAACCCUAAUAUUAGAAAUGAUGAUGAUGACGAUUCAGGGGCCAGGUACGUUGCAUCUCCAUGUCGAUCUAAGAAGUAAUCAUUAUGUCGGUCAGUAACUUAAUUCUUUUCCUCUUUUAUCAUUUUUUUUAUUCUGUCAUGUGCAUAGCCAUUUUUUGUUCUAUGAGAUAUUUCUUAAUUAUAGAUUGUGAUGGUCCUAUCCUCCAGAGUCCAGGCCACUAUCUUUUGGGGGAUUAUCUAGCUAUCAGACUACAUAUGUUUUAUUAUUCUCUAGUUCAUUCUAAUAGGUUUUAUCUUCUUUUCUUUUGAUAUAUACCGAUUGACAAUAUUUUCAAGAGCUUAUAUUACUAUAAUUUUACUUGUAUUCGAAUUCAAACUGUAGAAUUUAGUGCAAUUUUGGUAUUUUCUGAAAAAUGUUGGUAUUUGCAACUUUCCUUUGUUAAUGUAUUCUUCCUUCUCUGAUUUCACUAUCUAGUAAUAGAGUACUUGUCAGAGUGCCCUGAAUUCUUACUUUAAAUCAAUAGUACUUUGAUCACUGCUAUUCUCUUCAUAGCCUACAUGUAAUUUUUUGAUAUAAUGAUCAAUUUGUAAUUGCAUUCUUAGUGCAGCAGGUUUGUUUUUAUCAACAGUUUGAUUGUAGGGAGUGGAUUAGAAAGGCAUUGGCUACCAUCUUUUUUUGGGCAGCCUAUGAAAUGCUACGAUCCAGCAAGGUAGCAGAGGAUUGGAGACAAGCUAUAAUAAGGUGGUGGUGUGUACUGCUUUAGACCAGACAACAAUGAAGAGCAUUAUAUCCGCACAGCAAGGGCUGAGAACUGCCCAUGACUUGGUGUUCUGUUUCUGUGCUGUUCCUUCUGUAAUAUUACAGUUUUUUUUUUUUUUUUGUUUGGACCAAAAUUGUAAUAUUAAUGGCUUUUAGCCUUUUA